GAUGAACGCUAGCGGGAGGCUUAACACAUGCAAGUCGAGGGGCAGCAUUCACUUCGGUGAGAUGGCGACCGGCGGACGGGUGCGUAACGCGUAUGCAACCUACCUUAUGCAAGGGGAUAGCCCGUGGAAACGUGGAUUAAUACCCUAUAUUCUAAUUGAUUUGCAUAUAUUAAUUAGGAAAACUUCGGUGGCAUAAGAUGGGCAUGCGUCUGAUUAGCUAGAUGGUAAGGUAACGGCUUACCAUGGCAACGAUCAGUAGGGGUCCUGAGAGGGUUACCCCCCACACUGGUACUGAGACACGGACCAG
rnacentral:rRNA from 1 species